GAUCCUACGGGGGGCAGCAGUGGGGAAUAUUGCACAAUGGGGGGAACCCUGAUGCAGCGACGCCGCGUGAAGGAAGAAGUAUCUCGGUAUGUAAACUUCUAUCAGCAGGGAAGAAAGAGGACGGUACCUGACUAAGAAGCCCCGGCUAACUACGUGCCAGCAGCCGCGGUAAUACGUAGGGGGCAAGCGUUAUCCGGAUUUACUGGGUGUAAAGGGAGCGUAGACGGCAGCGCAAGUCUGGAGUGAAAUGCCGGGGCCCAACCCCGGAACUGCUCUGGAAACUGUGAGGCUGGAGUGCAGGAGAG
rnacentral:rRNA from 1 species